GACGAACGCUGGCGGCGUGCCUAACACAUGCAAGUCGAGCGGGAAGCUUUUAAUUGAGACUUCGGUUGAUUUUGAAAGUGGAGAGCGGCGGACGGGUGAGUAACGCGUGAGUAACCUGCCCAUAAGAGGGGGAUAACAACCGGAAACGGUUGCUAAUACCGCAUAUUAUGCUUUUGCCGCAUGGCAGAGGUAUGAAAGAUUUAUCGCUUAUGGAUGGACUCGCGUCCAAUUAGCUAGUAGGUGAGGUAACGGCCCACCUAGGCGACGAUUGGUAGCCGAACUGAGAGGGUGAUCGGCCACAUUGGAACUGAGAAACGGUCCAGACUCCUACGGGAGGCAGCAGUGGGGAAUAUUGGGCAAUGGGCGAAAGCCUGACCCAGCAACGCCGCGUGAGGGAAGAAGGGUUUCGGCUCGUAAACCUCUGUCCUAUGGGACGAAGAAAGUGACGGUACCAUAGGAGGAAGCCCCGGCUAACUACGUG
rnacentral:rRNA from 1 species